UACGAAGGGGGCUAGCGUUGCUCGGAUUGACUGGGCGUAAAGGGCGCGUAGGCGGUUCCUUAAGUUUGCUGUGAAAUCUCCCGGCUUAACCGGGAGGGUGCGGUGAAUACUGAGGGACUAGAGUACGGGAGAGGAAAGUGGAAUUCCUGGUGUAGCGGUGAAAUGCGCAGAUAUCAGGAGGAACACCGGUGGCGAAGGCGGGUCUCUGGGCCGUAACUGACGCUGAGGAGCGAAAGCAUGGGGAGCGAACAGG
rnacentral:rRNA from 1 species